rnacentral:lncRNA from 1 species
AUGGAGAGAAAUCAGAAGAGGAGGUUUGUAUGGAUGGAUUGCCGAGGUUGUGACCGGAGGCUUGCAGGGGCCCAGCCCUCUCUCUCCACCGGGGUAGCAGCUUGGGAUCAGCGGAGUGUGUGUCUGUCCGUCUGUCUGCCUGUGUGUCUGCUUUAUAGAACCCAAGUGGCCUGGCCAGCGAUGGAUGGCCCCAGCCCAGUGGGGAGGCCGCCUGUGGGCCUGGAGCUGUCCGUGGUGCUGCCCCAGGGAGGGGCUCGACCUCCGAGGCCUGCAUCUCUGCCUUGUCCAUCAUCCCCUGGAUUCAGGGGCCUGGAAGCCUGCUGCCCCCGCGGCCAGAUGGCAGGGAGACUGCGGCCGAGAGCGUCCUGGAGAUUAGAGAGGUCUCGGCUGGGCUGGCGGCUCCCGGGGCUGCGAUUUCCUGCUGGACAGGCCUUGGGAAAGGACGCAGGGAGAAGGGGUCCACGUGGAGGAAGAGAGAGCACUGCUGUCACGGGCCACACAGGGUCCAGUUCCCCUCGUGGUUUUUUUUUGGGGGGGGGUUCAAAUAUAUUUUUUAAAGUUUAUUUUGUAUUGCUAUUUCCCCAGCACACUUUUUCUUUUCUCACUGUGCAGCAUGGGGACCCAGUUACACAUACAUGCACACAUAAUUUUGUCUCCCAUUGUCGUGCUGCGUUGUGAGUAUCCAGACAUAGCUCUCAGUGCUCCGCAGCAGGAGCUCACUGCUAAUCCAGUCCAAAGGCAAUCGUUGGCCCCAGCUCCGUCGAGCCCAAGCUCCCACUCCCUCCCCCUCCCUCCAGACCCCUUGUGGUUUAUGCACAGUUCCCGGACUGUGUGGUUUAGGGACCCUGGCAGCCUUGGGACCAGGGACCUCCUCUGAGCAAGCUGCCCUGUGACAGGGACAGAACUUUACUGCCUCCGAAGGACCUUGGUCCUGGCCUCUCUCCCCCAGUCCUCCCCGUGGGAGGGGGCCAGGUGAGACCCUCUGACGGAUGUGGUCCCUGGGCCUCAGGGGUUCAGUGAACUGGCUUUAGGGAGACGUCGAGGCAGGCCCUGGACUCGGAUGUGCGUGGCUGCACAUGCUAACGUGCCCCG